UACGUAGGGCGCAAGCGUUGUCCGGAAUUAUUGGGCGUAAAGAGCUCGUAGGCGGCUUGUCACGUCGGGUGUGAAAGCCCGGGGCUUAACCUGGGAACUGCAUCCGAAACUGCCUUGCUAGAGUAUGGGAGAGGGAAGUGGAAUUUCCGGUGUAGCGGUGAAAUGCGUAGAUAUCGGAAGGAACAUCAGUGGCGAAGGCGACUUCCUGGACCAAUACUGACGCUCAGGUGCGAAAGCGUGGGGAGCAAACAGG
rnacentral:rRNA from 1 species